AGUCCGGCCCGCGCGGGCGGACGGCUGAUUCGAAUUAACGGUUUGCCUUGGAACAGCCUCGCUCCGUUUGAGCUCGCUGCCGUUUAAACCCGGCAUGCAAAGGGCUGUGCCUCCUGUGCUCGGAGCGGAGCGGGGGGCAGUGUGGUGCGUUCCCGCCCCACCCGGCGUCAAACGAGCACAGCAGCGUGUGCGCCUAGUGGGGCAGCCCCAGCGAGUUCCUGGGCUUCACAGCUCGCUACCAUCCGCUGGAUUUCUUUUUAAACUCUUCACACGCAUUAAUGACUCUUUCGCCUUUUGAAAAAUAGUUUUAAUGUUUGACUAAUUAAGCUGGCCCUUCUUUUGCAAGUCUGCUGUCCAUUAGCCAUGCAGCUUCUCUUGCACAGCCCUGUAGAGAGUUUGUAACUGUAGGUAGAAAUAUUACCUCAGGUGUGGAAUUAACUUUCUGUGAAGUGUGAUGAAGACGCUCAAGAGAAUCAUGUUUUAUGAAUCCUGAUGAGACGUACAUCUAACUGUAAUGACCACAAUGUAAAGCAUUGUAAAGCAGCAAUGAUUAAUACAAAAUAGAUGACUGUCAUGCACAAAGUGAUACAGGCAGGAUUGGGAAGAAGAUAACCAUUAGAAGGCUAUGUGGAUGUAAACAGUUACUUCCACUAUUAAAUGGUCAAUUGCGUUCAACAUCUCUCAUCUUCUCAGCAGUGAAGGGCCUCAGACUUCAGCUUUGAUACUGAAAUUCAUUACACUUGUUCAGAGUCUCCAAUGAAGCUAGAGAGGCUUCAGCUUUGCUUGUACAGACCUGUUGACUCCUAGGGUGAUAAUAAACAUUACAGAUAAUCAAAACUGUAUAUAAAGUGCAUGUUCUAAUUUUAGUAUAAAUAUAUUGAUAUUCAGUGAAUUAGUUAUUCAGUAUUGAAUAUUGAUAUUCAGUAAGUUAUUCAGUAACUUUCUGUAGUUUAUGUAUUGCUCUGUUGUAACUAUCCUAACCAGACACUGCAGAAUUCUUAGAGGUUGCCACUGAAGAAUCAAAGUGUUAAUAAGCAUUUGAAUAUAGCUGGGGUAAAAAAAUGUUAGAAGUGUUAUGUAAGAGAAAGGAAUAUUGGCAUUACAUAGUCUAAAAAGCCCAAAUUACGCAUCUAAUUGAAAAGAUAAGAAUCUUACUUGGGACCAGAUCUUUGCCAGUGUUAAACCUUCCAAGAACCACAGAACUGGUUUGGUUUAGUUAUGUGGGGACUUAGGGCAAUGAGAUUUCAUUACUGUUUCUGUUAGUUACACCCUUAAGAUAGGUGCCAAUAUGUUUGGAACUAGCAAGGCUAAGAGGGGGAUACUGGUUUGUGGGCAGCUCAGUGUCUCCAUAUACAAUGCCCAGGUUUUUGUGCCCUGGAGAAGUCACUCCAGCUUCACUUUAUUUUCAAGCGACGGUUAUGUUCAACCAGCCGAUAUCUCACUUGUUGUAAUUCUGUUGUCUCACAAGACAGACAGAUGUCUACUACUACUACACUCUUAAACACUCACAUUGGAAAAAGACUUGUAAAACAACCAGUAUUGUUAUGCAAUCCUAGACAGAAGGCAAACAAAGGGAAUUUAGUAAAAACAUUUUUACCUUGUAUUCUUGUACUUUUUUUCCUUCUUUUUUUGUUCAGUGCCGUUUUAUUAGUUUUAUACUAGUGAAAUUCAUUUCUGUUUGGGUUGUCUGAGAGGUCUCAUUUGCCAUUUACAAAACUAAGUGACAAACUGGUAAAUUCAGCAACCAGAGCAGAGUGAAUUGGUUAACUGGCCAACGAACAAUUGUUUCCAUCUUGUAGGCAGCAGACCCAUUUUAAGAACUGUUUUACACUCCGUUACCAGAGCAAUUUAGGAUUCCUGCAGUAUGUUUUCUGUAAUACAUGUAAAGGAUUUGAUCGUUCCUUUUCAAAAGGGAUUUUUGUAUGAAAGUUAAAUCACUAAAACCAAGUGUGAGGCUAAAUAGUAUCUCUUUAUUUUCUGUAGGAAUCUUGUGUUUCUAAUAGAUGAUUGUGCCAUAGGAAAAAAAACAACAGAUUAUAUACCAUUAUCACACCACCACCACCCUCAACAUUCUGUUUUCAUCACAGUCUAAUUCCUAAGCAAACUAUUCAAAGAAUCCAAAACAUGGAGAGUCUCAGCGUUAUGAUUUAAAUGCUUUGGGUUCUGAGGGCUCUAUUAUGCAAAGUUAAAUAUGUGAAUACUUCCAUCACUAUUCUGUGAAGCACUUAAGUUUUAGACUAAAGUUAUUUGCUGCACUGGGGCCCAAGGUAAAGGUAUUUUUUUUAAUUUAUCCCUGGCAGUACUUCACAAAAUGACACUAAAUCUAUACCAUAGAGAGCUUAAGCAAUGUAGCACCUGACAUGCAUUUGAUGCAAGGAGUAGAGGGGAUAAAAAAGAUCAUUCUCUUUGAAGGACCUAUUCAAAGCCCACUAAUGUAAACUCAAAUUUAAAUUGUCAAAAUGGAGCUUAGAUGAAGUUUAAGUGAUACAUAGGUCUUAUGUUGGUCUUCUGAACAAGAUCGAUUUCAUCCUGGGCUUGAAUUUCUUCACUUAGCACAAGUAAAAAACUGAAUAAUUAUCUUUGUACUGAAGUACUGUACUAAACUCUUGGAGAAUUUAAUUUAUAUAAUAUGGAUUUACCUAUAACAAUUUGAAGUUCACUAAUUAAGUCUUAAAGCUCAUAAUGUUCCUGUCCCUGUGGUUAUUAAUAGACACCAGUCAUAAUUUUGUUUAAAAAGCAGGUGUUGUAGAUUAGCCAGGAGAUGGCACCAGUAAAUCCUGCGGUAGGACAUAAAACUGUAGUAAUCCUUAUAUUUUUCCUCAAGUACUUUUAAAAAAAUGGAAGAACUGGACAAAAUAUUGUGGGUUAAUUAAGAUAUUAAAAUAGUCAUGGAAGAAACCAUUUCAGUAACACGAAACAACAUUUUUUCUACCAGGUGUGAUAAUGAGUUGAAACUUCAUUACUUUAAUCAAGCUGCAACAAAAAUCAACAUAGUCACAUGGUUUUAAAAGUAGUUUCAAUAAUUUGUGUUCUAUCAACAUGUUUUAUAUAACAAUUAAGAAGUUUAAGUUUGUGCGAUUCUUCUGAGCAGCUGUAGAGUUGUGAUAUCAGGGCUCCUUAGACUAGAGGACUACAAUGUAAGCCCAAAGAAUGCUCCAAAGUGAAAAAAAAAUGGAGACAGAGAGUUGUUUGUAAGCCUUUAGUGCUUUGUCUAGAUCUGUAUAUUUCUUGUUUCACCUAAAGUAAACAAAAGUGAUUCUACA